GACGAACGCUGGCGGCGUGCUUAACACAUGCAAGUCGUACGGUAAGGCCCUUUCGGGGGUCCACGAGUGGCGAACGGGUGAGUAACACGUGAGUAACCUGCCCACAACUUUGGGAUAACGCUAGGAAACUGGUGCUAAUACUGGAUAUGUUCUCCUGCUGCAUGGUGGGGGUUGGAAAGCUCCGGCGGUUGUGGAUGGACUCGCGGCCUAUCAGCUUGUUGGUGGGGUAGUGGCCUACCAAGGCGGCGACGGGUAGCCGGCCUGAGAGGGUGACCGGCCACAUUGGGACUGAGAGACGGCCCAGACUCCUACGGGAGGCAGCAGUGGGGAAUAUUGCACAAGGGGCGCAAGCCGGAUGCAGCAACGCCGCGUGCGGGAUGACGGCCUUAGGGUUGGAAACCGCUUUCAGCAGGGACGAAGCUUUUUGUGACGGUACCUGCAGAAGAAGCACCGGCUAACUACGUG
rnacentral:rRNA from 1 species